AUCACAGUAUGGCUCUUGCAGGUUGGUUUACUCCAUCUGUUCAAUUCUCAACCUUUGAUUUUCCCUUCGUUUGUUUGUGUUAGAAGCAUAAUCGAAAACGUGGAUGAUAUGGUUAAAUUUUGGCAAAUAGGAGUAAGCUUUGUAUGGUAGGAAUUUUACUACUUCAUCAGUUUAUUGAUGAGAAUGAAAUGCGCUAUGGACGGCCCCUUCUGGACUCUCUACCAUUUUAUUGGUUCUUAUAGCUUUCUUAGUCUUGAUAUUUACUUCAUCAAAACUGAUAGAUUUUCAUGAGACAAAGACAAGGGUUUGUCUGACAGUAAUAUCUGCUGAUUCUAUGUUUGAAUUUCUCACUUAUUUCUAGACUCCGCAAAUUCAUAUCCAUUUGUUUAUCUCCACAUAAAUGGACUUCUAUUCUUGUUGCUUGUGUGAUUGUAGUGGCCUAUAGGAUAUUAGAAUUACGAAACUGUUGGAUGUUAACAGAUGCAUUUGGGGUUUUCCUUUUUCUUCUUUUGUUUUGGCUACAUCAGAAUAUAACUUGCACAUUGGGGUUAAGUACAGGCUAAGGCUACCUUUUUGACUAUUAAAUGAUUGUAAGAUUAGGAGUUUGAGAUGAGUUCACCCCUCUAAUUUCUAUGUAAUGGCAGAUGACGGAUCAGUUUGGUGCUGGGGUUAUAACCCUUGUAUCCUUCACGCUGGGGUACCUUUCAAGUAUUUCAUGCAUGUCAGAAUUUUGUUAUCUAUGUGCUUGUUAAUGUGUGUAUUCUCUGCAACCUUAACCUUUGUAUGGAUGGCCAACUUGGGGUAAAUGGAGAGAAUGCUGUGGUGCCUCGCAUGAUGGAGCAUUUUCUUGGGUUGACCUCUUUUGAUUCUGUAACGAAUGGGUCAGAAACAAAGAGAGAAGCACCAUUAAAGGCUUGUUCUGUUAAAGCAGGAGGGAUGAUGUCUCUAGCAAUCGACAAUCUUGGGACCCUGUGGAUAUGGGGCAAUUGCCCACAGCAAAGCAGCAGCAGUGGCGAGAGUGGUUUCUCCCUGGUCAGCAGUUUCACUCCGAUUCCUGUCUGGGAUUUCCAUGGCCACACUGUUGUAAAGGUGGCAUGUGGAAAUGAGCAUGUUGUAGCUUUGGUAACUGUUGGAGAAACAUAUGAAGGUGAGGAUCUAGUAUGCUACUCUUGGGGAAACAAUAACCAUGGCCAGUUGGGUUUGGGAGAUAGAGAGAGCAGAAUUCAUCCUGAAAUUGUUGAAACAUUUAACCAGCACUCUCCCUGGGCUAUUUAUGAGGUAGCAUGCGGUGCAUUUCAUACCGCUUUGCUCACUCACAAAAAGAGACCAAAUGAAAAAUUAGAAAGCACAUGCUGGACUUUUGGCCUGGGUGAAAAUGGGCAGCUUGGGCAUGGAACCUCCCAAAGUGCACUGAAACCUGAACCUGUAAAUGAAUUGCCACAAGAUGCGUACCUGGUCUCUGUUGAUUGUGGUUUAUUUCAUACUGGUGUUGUUUCAUCAGCUGGUGAUGUGUGGUCAUGGGGAAUGGAGAAAGGGCUUGGCCUCUGCCCAGAUGCUAGAUUUACUGGAACAGAUGCAGGGGAUGCUUUGUCACCCCUACGAAUAACAGGGCCGCAAGAGCCUAGAUUUCAUGAUCCAGUCCAAGUUGUUUGUGGGGCCGCCCAUACUGUUCUUGUUGCAAAUGAUGGAUAUAAGCUUUGGUCCUGGGGUAGGGGAAGAAGUGGGGUCCUUGGAACUGGGCAGACGAUUGAUUUUUUUGCUCCCACUGCUGUGAUGUGGCCUCCAUUAGCAGAUGAUUUCAAGGACCAAGGAUUGAACAAUGUUACUAAAGACGAUAAUCUAGAAAGCAAGGAAUCAGAAGAAGUUGCAGAAAUAGAAAAAAGAUUGUCUUCGGCAAUGGAGGAGAUGAAGCUCCUUCAAUCAAAGCUUUCUAUAAUGGAAAGAUAUGCUGGCAUACUUCAUGGUUCAAUUUUUGGUAAACCUUUUACAGAGGAAGAUAUUCCAAGCUCGUUGCGAGAUUCAGGUACUUUUGACAUUGCCAAAGAAUGGGAGGAUAUGCUAGAAUCAGCAGAUCGCAGUAAGCUUAUUAGGUUGGAACUUUUCUACAGAAACAUGCUUUCAGGUGUCAAAGACAAGCAUAUGAAAAGAAGGAUCCAAGAGAUCAUAAAGGAGUUUAUCCCUUCUUCAACCACCGAUAAUUAGUGCAAUAAGAAGUGGAAUGGUUUUUUGUAUAAAAUGGAUGAAUCAUCUGCUACACCUUAUCA
rnacentral:misc_RNA from 1 species